ACGUGAAAGAAAAAUCCAGAGUUUCCCAUGAAGGAACGUGUCUGCCUGCUUUGACUGAACUGUCUAUUCUCCAGGGAAGGAAUCAAUGAUGGAUUGGCCUGGGCUAAGAGUUCUAAAGAUCCUCGGAUUGCAGUAGGCUCCUGUUCCCCACUAGAAAAGAAAAUUAAGAUGCCUACUACCAUCAACAGCAACAGGAAAUGAUCAGAGAAUCAUGGGAUUAUAAACCAGAGGCAGAAUGGGACGCUAACCCAGAGGAAGAGAUGAAGCCAAAAUGCAAAAAACCAGAAAACGGUAAAAAAUGGGACUAUCUAGUACCUGAGAGGGAGAUGAAUCACAUAGAGAAACAUAUCCACAGAGCUGAGCGGGCUAGAGGCCUGAGG